rnacentral:rRNA from 1 species
AUUGAACGCUGGCGGCAUGCUUUACACAUGCAAGUCGAACGGUAACAGGUUAAGCUGACGAGUGGCGAACGGGUGAGUAAUGCAUCGGAACGUGCCCGGUCGUGGGGGAUAACGCAGCGAAAGCUGCGCUAAUACCGCAUACGAUCUGAGGAUGAAAGCGGGGGACCGUAAGGCCUCGCGCGAUCGGAGCGGCCGAUGUCAGAUUAGGUAGUUGGUGGGGUAAAGGCUCACCAAGCCAACGAUCUGUAGCUGGUCUGAGAGGACGACCAGCCACACUGGGACUGAGACACGGCCCAGACUCCUCCGGGAGUCAGAAGUGGGGAAUUUUGGACAAUGGGCGAAAGCCUGAUCCAGCAAUGCCGCGUGCAGGAAGAAGGCCUUCGGGUUGUAAACUGCUUUUGUACGGAGCGAAAAGGUCUCCUCUAAUACAGGGGGCUCAUGACGGUACCGUAAGAAUAAGCACCGGCUAACUACGUGCCAGCAGCCGCCGUAA